AAAAGAACAACAUUUGGGGUUUGAUUUUACCGGUAGCAUGGUAGCUAGGUGGCGGCUACACAGCUGCAUUGUGGGACUUAUGUCGCACUUGUAUUCAGCCAUAGAAUUUACCGGCUUUAUCUAUUUAGUUUUCAGUGUAAUUUUGGAUUUAUUUUUGUACUUUUUACCACUUAGUCUAUUUCUUGUUGUCCACGUUGUUUUUUUGUCACUAGCAUUCAAAACCUACAGUGGACAGGAACGACAAAACAGUAACAAAUAGUGGACGUGAGAAAACGCCAUCACAUUGUCAAUUUUUGUGAUUAUAUGAUGCAGUUCGGGUAUAUUUUCCCCUAAAAACGAUUAAUGAAAGAUGAAGGCAACAAAAGCUCUGGGACUUUGUUUGUGUUCCUGGUUUGCUGAGUCAUCAUCUGCAACAUGACUAUGAAUUCUGGCUGAUGUCCCUUUUUCCCACCUUGAAACAUUUACAUGAUAGUACCAUUAUUUCAUUCUCACCCCUUUCAACUAACUGGACAAUCACUGCACUAUAAUGUCAGUUUCUGUUAUGGGCCAGUGUAAUGUCUUCUAUGCUUGGUAAGUUACAUGUUGUAUCUAGUUGUGUUGUGUUAAUCUUGCAUGUAUUAGAUCUUGUCUUGAGCGAUCAUAUCGUUGUGCAGUAUGAUUUUUUUUUUAACAAACUUGACAUUCACGAAACUGUUAUACCAUGUUCUGUCCCAGGCCAAUGUGUUCUGGCUUCUAUGUGUGGUCAAGUAAAGUGCUAUUUGUUAAUAUGUUA